ACUCAAAUGAAUUGACGGGGACCCGCACAAGCGGUGGAGCAUGUGGAUUAAUUCGAUAAUAACCGAAGAACCUUACCCAGACUUGACAUCGAUUGAAAUCCCUGGAAACAGGGCCCUCUCCCACAAGGAGACAUGAAGACACUUGUUGCAUGGCUGUCGUCAGCUCGUGCCGUGAGGUGUACGGUUAAGUCCGCCAACGAGCGCAACCCUCGUCCUGUGUUACCAGCAUGAAAGAUGGGGACUCACAGGAGACCGCCGGUGUAAGCCGGAGGAAGGUGGGGAUGACGUCAAGUCAGCAUGGCAGUUACGUCUGGGGCUUCACACAUGCUACAAUGGACGAAACAAAGGGCUGCGAUACCGCGAGGUGGAGCUAAUCCCAAAAAUACGUCCCCAGUUCAGAUUGUAGUCUGCAACUCGACUACAUGAAGUCGGAAUCGCUAGUAAACGCAGGUCAGCUAUACUGCGUUGAAUACGUUCCCGGGUCUUGCACACACCGCCCGU
rnacentral:rRNA from 1 species